UACCAAACCAGAAUUUUGGGAAAGAAGAGCUUAGAAGUUAGUGGGAGAAAGAAGAAUCAUGUCCAUCUUUUCCAUUUUCGUAUUCCAUGGCAGCCUCCACUAAAUCAGCUUCUGUUUUGAAGGAGAAAAACAAGCUUGAAGUUGGGACAUGCAUGCUGAUUGUGUGUUAAAGAGUGGAUACAUGUUUGAUGAAUUUGGAGUUGGAGUUUUGGUCAAGUUAGGAGCUCAAUUGCAGCAUGUUCAUCAUCCAAAGCUCCAUUGAUUCAAGGUGCAGUUUAGUAGCUUUUGAUAGAUAGCAAGUUCGAAGUGAUGGCUUGAAGUGGUGUUGGCUCGAAGACCUCGUUGGUUUUGACAUUCCGCUGUGCAGAUCCAUUGAAGACACAUGUUUUGUUAUUCCUAGUAGAAUUUCAUGUUGUAAUCAAUAUGGAUCUUUCUAUAUCUAUAGCUUUUGUAUGCACUCAAUAUCAAUUUUUAACGUUUCAUGCAUAAUAUACUAGUCAGUUAUGUAUGGGAUGUUACAGAAUUAAACUUAGAUUUUGAUUAGGGUUUUGGGAUUUCUAUAGGUGAAAUUAUUAAAUAUUUUCAUUGAUAAUGAUGGUAAUAAGAUGA